ACUUGGCAAGUCGAGCGGAAACGAGUUAUCUGAACCUUCGGGGAACGAUAACGGCGUCGAGCGGCGGACGGGUGAGUAAUGCCUAGGAAAUUGCCCUGAUGUGGGGGAUAACCAUUGGAAACGAUGGCUAAUACCGCAUAAUGCCUACGGGCCAAAGAGGGGGACCUUCGGGCCUCUCGCGUCAGGAUAUGCCUAGGUGGGAUUAGCUAGUUGGUGAGGUAAUGGCUCACCAAGGCGACGAUCCCUAGCUGGUCUGAGAGGAUGAUCAGCCACACUGGAACUGAGACACGGUCCAGACUCCUACGGGAGGCAGCAGUGGGGAAUAUUGCACAAUGGGCGCAAGCCUGAUGCAGCCAUGCCGCGUGUGUGAAGAAGGCCUUCGGGUUGUAAAGCACUUUCAGUCGUGAGGAAGGUGGUGUAGUUAAUAGCAGUAUUAUUUGACGUUAGCGACAGAAGAAGCACCGGCUAACUCCGUGCCAGCAGCCGCGGUAAUACGGAGGGUGCGAGCGUUAAUCGGAAUUACUGGGCGUAAAGCGCAUGCAGGUGGUUUGUUAAGUCAGAUGUGAAAGCCCGGGGCUCAACCUCGGAAUAGCAUUUGAAACUGGCAGACUAGAGUACUGUAGAGGGGGGUAGAAUUUCAGGUGUAGCGGUGAAAUGCGUAGAGAUCUGAAAGGAAUACCGGGUGGCGAAGGCGGCCCCCCUGGACAGAUACUGACACUCAGAUGCGAAAGCGUGGGGAGCAAAACAGGAUUAGAUACCCUGGUAGUCCACGCCGUAAACGAUGUCUACUUGGAGGUUGUGGCCUUGAGCCGUGGCUUUCGGAGCUAACGCGUUAAGUAGACCGCCUGGGGAGUACGGUCGCAAGAUUAAAACUCAAAUGAAUUGACGGGGGCCCGCACAAGCGGUGGAGCAUGUGGUUUAAUUCGAUGCAACGCGAAGAACCUUACCUACUCUUGACAUCCAGAGAACUUUCCAGAGAUGGAUUGGUGCCUUCGGGAACUCUGAGACAGGUGCUGCAUGGCUGUCGUCAGCUCGUGUUGUGAAAUGUUGGGUUAAGUCCCGCAACGAGCGCAACCCUUAUCCUUGUUUGCCAGCGAGUAAUGUCGGGAACUCCAGGGAGACUGCCGGUGAUAAACCGGAGGAAGGUGGGGACGACGUCAAGUCAUCAUGGCCCUUACGAGUAGGGCUACACACGUGCUACAAUGGCGCAUACAGAGGGCAGCAAGCUAGCGAUAGUGAGCGAAUCCCAAAAAGUGCGUCGUAGUCCGGAUUGGAGUCUGCAACUCGACUCCAUGAAGUCGGAAUCGCUAGUAAUCGUGGAUCAGAAUGCCACGGUGAAUACGUUCCCGGGCCUUGUACACACCGCCCGUCACACCAUGGGAGUGGGCUGCAAAAGAAGUAGGUAGUUUAACCUUCGGGAGGAC
rnacentral:rRNA from 1 species